GUACGGAGUUGGUGAACCACUGGAAUCUGUUCCAGUAAUGAUGAAAAAUCCAUUUGUGGUUCCUACUCCGCCAAA
ensembl:miRNA gga-mir-7474 gga-mir-7474